UUCUGUUAAGAGUCUUUUGGUAACGUUCUCUACAAUUUUUGCAAGACAGAAUUUUUCUUAUGGUAUGUGCAAAUCAAUCUCUAGCAAGAUAAGAGAAAAAGUUCUUAGCAAUUCACCCAUUGGAUUUUAGGGCUGUAUUUUAGAAAUAAUUCUCCAAAGAUGUUUUUAAAGAGACACUUGAAAUUUCUUGUUAGCUCACUCUCUUUUUCCUUUCCUUCACAUUCUGCAACAAUCCCAAAGCAGGCACUAAAGGCCAGCCUUCAGAGGAAGUUGACAGAGCCUGGGAAAAGCUAACACAGAGCUUGUUAUUGAGCUCUGAUGUGGGUUGUAUAGGACUUCCCCAGGACCUUGGAUUUCUUUGUAGUUCUCUCAACAGAGCAUCAUAUGUCAUAUGUGAAAAUGUUACACUACCAAUUUGUUUGGUGUCUUAUGUUUAUUUGUUACAUUUUUUUAAAUGUCAUUAAAACAUAUUAUCAUCACCUUCACAGUGUAAUAUAACAUGCAUAUACUUUUUGCAGUCAGGUGUCAUCACUAUUGUCACUACUUUUCAGCUCACUGAAGACUCCAAAGCAGUAGGAUCCAUAAAUGGUAAAUAGAUCCAACAGUGGCUAGAUAGCUUCCACAGUCAUCCCAAAAGAAUCAAUCACUGAAACAGCGGACAGUUGUUUUAUGCUAUCUGGGCAGCUGGAAUGUCAAAAAAUUACUUAAUAAUCAAAACGGAAAACAAAAUUUAAUAUACUUUGUUAUGUGCUUGUGAUAUAUUAAGCUUUAGUUUUGCUGCCUCAUUAUUCAUUUGUGAACAGUUUUGUCUUGUUUUGUCUAGGAAGACAAAGUGAUACCAGAGUUGAGUAAGGGGUAGGAGGAGAGAGGCAUUUGCUACAGCAGAGCUCUGAACAGAAGGCCAAGUAAGGACACACAGAAAUGAUAGAAAAUUGUGCAAUAUCACAAAAUCAAGAUAGCCACUCAUGAUUAGAAAUGUAGUAAAACCAAGUUAUUUCUAUAUGUCCUGAUUGUGUCUUUAAUUUAAGCUCAAAACUUCAAAAGAGCUAAAUAUGACUCCACUUGGAAACAUGAUAUUGAGUGAAUGACUUGUGCCAUGGAUUUAAAGUCAGUGAUAUAUAUUCUAACUAAGGAAUGCUAUGGGAACUGGACUUGGGAACUGGAGUUGAACUGUACUGUAGAUUUGUUAAAACAACUCCUGGCAUUCUUUGAUCAAUGUUAAUUGAAAUCUGCAGAAAAUUUCUGUGCACAGUCAUGAGCUGAGUGAGCUCAGGUCUGUUCCCAGCAAAUGUCUUGGUUGUGCUACCCUGUUUAAAACAAGGGAGACUUUAGUAGAGGUGAUGUGUGCAGACCAUGCCAGAUGGCCUCAGGGAUAGAAAAUGAGCCCUGAAAAUUUUAGUUAUAAAUUUAGUUGUUACUAUAGAUUCUCACUGACUUCAGUGGAGGCAGGGCCUCACCUAGUGUAGCUGACCUAUAUUAUUUAUAUUUAUUUUUGAUUAUAGAUGUAAAGCAUAGAAUUAUAAUAUUGAAGCUCUGCUGAUCCAGCCAAAGCUCAAGUUCUGGAUAUCUGACCUAAUUCUUUUCACACUAGGAUCUUAAAAAAUGGAAAGUAUUUCAGAGUAAUAGCCACUCUUGUACCAGUACGCUUGAAGCUUAAACAAGAAUUUUUCUAAUUAUUAUUUAGGGAUGGGUGGGAGGGGAUAGACUCUGACAGAUGUUGCAACCAUAAAUCUAACACCUGUUUCCUAUCUGAAGUACAGUUCAUAGGCAACUUCCAACAAGGCAUGUUUUUCCACAAAACCUUUAAUAUAGUCUGAUUUUGUAGUGGCACAAGCAUUAUUUACAAAUGCCUGAAAUUCUUUUUAAAUAGAUUUCCAUAAAUGCCUCUAUUGUUGGUAUUUUGCAACACCUCCAUACCCACCUGAAUAUCAACUCUACUGCAAUAUUCAAAGUGCAUCAAAGAGGAUGGACAUUCAGAAGGAAUCCCUUUCCUCCAUGCCUACGUGAGAGGUGAAGAGAAGACAGUGGUGAUUUCUGUCCCUCUUUCCAAUGUAUAGGAAAUGGAUCAAAGACCUACCAAAAUGGAGGCAGGGGAAGGAUGGACAGACUGUUCAGUCUUAAAUGUCUCCUUUACAUAAACAUACAAGCUGAAAGUAUCUAUCACUCUCAACAUUUCAUAGAGAAAUUCUUUAAUAUAGUCCUCUUACUUUAAUUUGAUUUCCACUGAGCUAUAGCUGCUGAAUAGGGAGCUAUUUCAAACAAAAUAAUGUAAAAUAUAUUAUGUAAUCAUCUAUUUAAUUUCUUAAUGUAUGCUUUAAGAAUAUUUACAUACUUUUUUUGUUGAAGCAUGUAGAGAAGAAAUUAUCUUCUCUAAGAAGUGAAGUAAAAGCCCUUAUAGCAAAUUUAUUAGAAAGUACAAAAGGGAUUUAUGUUGCAUGCAAGAUAAAAUUGAAGAUGCAUUUUAAUCUGGUUCAACCAGAAGAACUCUACAAGUAAAAUCUUUUCAUUAAAUUUGAAGUUAUUAAGUCCUAUGGACUGGAGCCAAAAUCCACCGCUGUUGAUGAACAGACUUCAAGUGACUUAAAUAGGACUUAAGCUGAAAAAUGAGAAAAAGAUACACAAUUUUAAAUAAUCCAGGAAGGGGGAAAAACUGUUUUCUUUUCUAAUAUUGCCUUGGUGCACAGCUGCCUUCAUUGUCAAUACAGGGGUUUAUUCCUGCAGGAAAAAAAAAAAAAAAAAAAAAAAAAAA